UUUCGGGGCUACAAUCGUACGACAUCGUUUUCUCACUGUCUCUCUUCAAUUAGCAGAGACGUUUCUCACCCUCCUUUACUCUCUCCCUCUCUUCAAUAGCAGAGAACAACGUUCGAUCCCAGCCAUUAGAGCCGCCGACAACCACCGACUUCUCGCCGGAAAGCCACCGUCGCUCACUCUCCAUCACUGGUGAAUUAGACAAAGAACGGCCCAAGUGUUAGAAUCAAGCAGGAAGACCAACCAUCUCCAUGAAGCUAAGCAGAAAAGGGAAAAUUGGCCUUUAAGGCUUUAAGAAGCUAAGCCAGGCGGAGAAUAAGUCCUAGAUUAGUUCUGAAGACAUGUCUUGCAGGUUUUGCAACCCAUUGAGAGAGAAGAUGGGUUGGUCUAUUAGCAAACCUUGGAGCCCAAACAAGUUAGAUAUUGGGACAGGCCUUCAAAAGGAGUUUUACAUCUUCAACAAUUACAUGGGAGAGUUUGCUUGUCGCCCAUAAAAAAACAACGUUGAGGAGAAAUUAUUAAAUGGUUCGGGACCAUGUGAUCCCGGUCUUUCACAAGCUGUCACACAAUCAAAUAAUUUUCAACGUUGAGACAAUCUAAAAAUUUCUCAAUGUUGAGACAAUCUGUUUCAGCAGCAACAUAAUUAUACCCCCACAGGACAAGUGAUUCAGAGUGCUUGACCUUGUAAAAGGAAGGAGGUGACCCGAACGGCAUAAUCCUUAUGAUCUUAGAGAAAUUUGAACCUUCCACUUUUAUUUAAAAUAUGAGAAAAAUACCACUAAACUAGUCUUUAGUAUUCUGAUUUUUCAACCCUAAUUGUUUUGACAUAAAGUAUUUUUCAGAAAACAUUUUUAUAAUUUUUUAUACGUAGUUGUAAUUUAAAAUUGUCAAAUUAUUUUACCUGUAAAAUAAAUCCCUCUAAAACAACGAAAAUGACUUGCAUUUCAAAGUAGUGAUUUCAUUUAUAAUUAUAUCGAUGUAGUGAGUUAAAAUUAUUAUUAUUAUUAUUAUUAUUAUUAUUAUUAUAUAUAUAUAUAAUGGUAUAUUAUAUUAUUCUUUUAUUUCAUUUUUUGAUAUAUCAAUGUUAUAUCUUUGUUUUAUUUUUUUGAGAUUUUAUUGUAUCUAGCGGAAGAGCUACCUAGCACAGUCAUGUCAAUAGACAAAUUUUCUUGGGCAGCCUUUCAAAUUUUGUAUCAACUUUGUACAAUUAUUUAUUUUCAGUUAUUUAAAAAAUUAAACCAAGCAACAUAUUACCUUCUGUAGUUUUUAAGUUUUUUUUAAUAUGUCCCUUUUUUUUCUUAUUUUCUUUUAAAGGAAUGUUAAGACUUUUCUGUCUAAUGAUUUAGUGUGGUUUUACUAUUGAGUAUAAAGUAUAAAAUCAAAAUAAAUAGAUAUUAGAGGAUAUGAAUAUUAAAAUAACAAAAAAUAAUUAUUAGAAAAAAAAAAAAAAAAAAAAAAAAAAAAAAAAAAACCCCAACUUUGUUGGUGUCAUUGAUAAAAAUAUAAAGUAUUUUCUUUUAAAAAGAAAUUGGGUUUACACUAAAAUCCUCUAAUUGCUCGUUUUGUUUUUAAAAAUUAUUUUGAGCUCUUCAAACGGUGUUAAUAAAAAGUAUGAAAUUAUUAAUUUACCCACAUUAAUAUUUUAAUAUAAAUUUGUAUAAAACUGAAAUUAAGAAAAGAAAAGCAAAAAAAUUCCUUGCAUCAAUUGGACAGAGGGAGAAACUGGAGGAUCGUUUUUUCAUUUUGUUCAAACACAUUUCAAUUCAGAGGAGGAAGAAAGGGACGAUUAGGGUUUUGGUUAUCUGUUCAACACACUUGGAUAGUUGGAGAGAGGAAGUGGAGGACUAGGGUUUCACUCUUCCAUUUUCAUCGCUCUUCAACACAGUGGCAGAGAGACGAGGAAAUUAUUUGAUGGUAAGAAAGACUAACAAAACACCUUCUUUGUUAUGUUCUUCGGUGCCUAUUAGGAGCUUUGUUUGUUAGGAAUUCAUGUUAUUGUGCAUCCUUUCUUAUGUAACUGUCAUAUGGCUAUGCUAUAGCAUAUACUUUAUUCCAUGUUGAGCCAUCAUGAUUGAUAGUUAUUGUUACUCUGCUUUUCUUAGCUAAAAUGCUCAAUAGUUAUAUGUGUUCAUUGUCUGUUCAACAGUUCCAGUUUUUUAGGUUCCCUCAGCUUCAGAUUCUCAGCUAUAUUCUGUUCUUGACUACUAGUUAUUGAAUACAAUCCCUCUAAUGAAUGAACAUGGUCUAGGAUUGAUCAGCUUAAACCUAUUAAAGUUUAUAAGGCGUGUCAACUGAAGCAUAUUUUAUUGUAAAUUCAUGGGCCUGUCAAGAUCCAUCUAGUUUUGUUGUUUCCAAUCAACAUAUGACUCGAUAAAUGACCCCAACCCAGUCCAACCUAACCUAUUGCCACUCCUUAGAGUUACAUAUUUGGUGUAUUUUAGUCUUUUAAUCCUCUUAUAAUACAGUACUUUUGUUAAAUUUGUGUAGGCUGUAUAUAUGUUUUUAUACGUAAUUAAUAUUGUCUGGGUGAAUUUCUUGUAAAGAACGUAGGUGGAAUGAGUGGUAAGAGACAUGUAAUUACAUAAUCACUUGAUUUAUUUAUCAUUAAGUACUGGUUUGAGUAAUCAAGUAAGAUUGAUAUUAUCUGUUGCUUCAGUUCCAAUCACGAGCAUACUUUUUUAGUUUUAGUUCCAAAAUAUGGGGUAACUUUCUGAGUUGAUGAUGGUGGUGACUGGUGAGCUCGAGGCAUUAAAUGUUCAGUCCAAUUUGUUGUCCACACAUGCUAGUGUUUGUCUGUGCCCACUGCACAAGCCUUCCAUAGCCUCUAAAGAUUGUUAAGAGUGCUGUAACAUUCUUGCUAUGAUGACAGCUUGCAAAAAGGUAUGUUAGCAAAAGGUUGAAGACAAUUGUUUCACAGGUUGAAUGAGGAUUGCCCACAUCGAAUGAGAUAAGCCUCAGAGCAUCCAAUGAUAAACAAUCUUCACAAGACACGAACGACAAUCAAUUGUCAUUUGGCAUGCCAAAUUUUGCUCAGAAUGAGAGGGCGGAUAUUGACAAGGUUCAACUCCCACUCCGUGUACAGAAUGAUGGCGACGACAGAGAAUAAUGCCGGUACUGGUGUUGGGGACUCGCCGAGCAAUCAGGGAAAGAUUAAAAUCAUUCUUGAUUGGGAUUUUUAGGGACCAUCCUUCUAAAGGGCUGGCAAUGCAUGCCAAAUAGAUUGGGUUUUUUAGGGACCAUCGUCCUAGAGCUGGCAGUGCAUGCCAAAACUGCAGCUAGAAAGGGACCUAACCAACCCUACAACAUAACUCACUUUCCUACCAUUUUUUGUUUGUUUUCCUCUCACAAUCUGUUGCCAUUUUCUUUCAUUCUAAUGUUUUCUAUUCCAUUUUGUUAUCAGUCCAGCCAAUCAAAUUGAUGGUUGUGGGCUUGCUGUAGAGGGAGGGACCAAUAGAAGGUGGUCCAAUUCCAUAAUUUUUUCAUAUACAACACAUCCAACAGCAAAUACUGACUAGUCAUUCUCUGGGGUCUAGGUCUAUUGGUACCCUCUUGUGCCUUGGACAAUGAUUUGUAUGAGAUGAUUGAGAAAGCUAUAAUUGUACAUUAAGUACCAGAUGAUGGCGGUGAUAUUGGACUUAUGGUUUGUGAAUAUAUAUUUCUUCUAGGCUGACUUUUAUGCUAGGGAAAUAACAAAAUCGAUGACAUGAGUCGGUCACAGGUGUCACAAAGACACGCUAUGGGUUGUGAAUAUAUAUUUUCUUUUAGACCGACUUUUAUGCUAUGAAAAUAACAAAAUUGACGACAUGACUAGUAAGGUCACGAGCGUCACACAAGCGUGGGGGCGUCAUGCCUAUGCGUGAUCGAGUGUCGGUUACAAUAGCAGUACUCUUUAUGCUAAGAUAAUUCUGACCUCUCUCAGCAGAGAUCUAUGUUGUCCAUGCCCUACCAAGUACCAUACCAACCAGCAGGUAAUUCCCAAACUUAUUAUAUUUCAAGAAAACAUGCAAAUGCUAGGAAGGUUUUGCAUGCUAAAUGUUUACUAAUGGAGAGCACGCCUGACGUGCAUUAAUAGAACAUAGUUAGGAAGAGAGACCUUAUAAGGGGAGUCCUUUUCCUCCGUCACACAACCAAAUGUGUCAUAUGAGAAAAGCUUAAAAAUGACAACAUUAUAUUGAAGGUCGGGCAUUUAAAGAGCUGAUUAGUUUGUUACUCAGAAAACAGUUCUCUAAUAAUUAAAAAAAUUAAAAACAUGCCUUCUUUAACUGAGUUUUCAAAAAACAGAAUUAAGCAGAAAUUUUGUAUAAUUUUUUGGAUUUUCAAUUCUUUGGAAACAAAAAAAUUGUUUACGAGUAACGAACUAAGUAGACCCUAAUUGUUCUGAGUUUGGGAAUAUGAAUCUUAUAAUUUAUAUAUGUGACAUGUUAUUGAUUUUAAAUAAUAAAAAUUUUUCCCCUUUCUUGGCAAUAUGGUAAUCUAUGGGCAUGUCAGUCUUCAUGCCAUGGUUCCAUCAAGUCCCAAAACCAAAUCUAAAAUUUGAUCCUCACAAAGCUGAUGAAUGGAUCAGAAAGAUUGGGACUUGGAAGACCUCUUUCUGUGGCAUGUGGCUCUGCUUUUCGCCCUUUUUCACACUUUUUGCUUCGGUCUCAUGAUGCAUGGGGCCCAAAGUUUUGUGAUAACAUUAUGGACCACACAAGCACAUAGUAAAAAGAAAGAUUUGGAUCAUGUACCAUAUGAAUUCACAAAUAAAUACCCCAUUGUGAAUUUAAUUUUCCUAGUUCUUAUAUCUAUUCUACAACCAUAAUUGUACCAUGACAUUUGUACUUGUGAACCAUUUUCUGCCUAUUUAAUUUGUAUUAUGAUAUGCUUUAUUGGUGGCUUAUGUUUGAUCAAGUCAUUUAAUGAAAGAAUUUGUGUUCUCACUUUUCAUUUUUAUUAUAAGCUUUGAAUCUCUGAUAGGCUUGCUAAAAGGUGCGCGCAAUAACACCGUUCGAAUUUAAUACUAACCAAACACAUUAUAAUAAAAUAUAUGUGAUGGCCUGUGAUUCUCUCACUUAAUUAAAUAAAUAGUAAAAUCAUUUUCCCUUUAUUAUAACAAACCAAAUGGCAAAUCCUUCCUUAUGCAUUAUAACUAAAGGUAAAUGUGUUACUUUUAAAAGUCUAAGUACAUGAUAAAUGACCCCUCAAGUUAACAUUGGCUAGUCAAUGUUGUCCCAUUAAACUUUUUGGAUCAUACAAUAAUUGAGCUUUUACAUCUGAUUUUCAUAAUUAUGUGACAUUUGAUUGAGGCAGUUCCACUGCUAAUUGAAAGUACUAGUUAACUAAAUUGUUAAAAAUAAUCGUGAUGCUUUAGUUUUAGAGAGUGCAAAAAAAAAUAAAAAUAAAAAAAAUAAAAAAGAAAAGAAAAGAAUGCAUGUGGAUCGGGAUUGACUUAGUUGAAAAAAAAU